GUACUACUCCCUCCGUUCAAAAAAGCUUGUCUCUCAAAUGAAUGUAUCUAACAUUGUUAGUGCUAAAUACAUUCAUUUGAGGGACAAGCUUGGGACAAGUUUUUCCGGAUGGAGGGAGUAGAUU
rfam:Triticum aestivum genome assembly, contig: Triticum_aestivum_CS42_TGACv1_scaffold_221445_3B